rnacentral:rRNA from 1 species
ACAUGCAAGUCGAACGGAGUAUCUCUCCGAGGAUGACGAAGCUUGCUCUGAUUGACUCAUUGAGAUACUUAGUGGCGGACGGGUGAGUAACGCGUGGGUAACCUGCCUCACACAGGGGGAUAACAGUUGGAAACGACUGUUAAUACCGCAUAAGCGCACAGCUUCGCAUGAAGCAGUGUGAAAAACUCCGGUGGUGUGAGAUGGACCCGCGUCUGAUUAGCUAGUUGGUGAGGUAACGGCCCACCAAGGCAACGAUCAGUAGCCGGCCUGAGAGGGUGUACGGCCACAUUGGGACUGAGACACGGCCCAAACUCCUACGGGAGGCAGCAGUGGGGAAUAUUGGACAAUGGGGGAAACCCUGAUCCAGCGACGCCCGCGUGAGUGAUGAAGUAUCUCGGUAUGUAAAGCUCUAUCAGCAGGGAAGAAAUUGACGGUACCUGACUAAGAAGCACCGGCUAAAUACGUGCCAGCAGCCGC